rnacentral:rRNA from 1 species
ACUCAAAGGAAUAGACGGGGGCCCGCACAAGCAGCGGAGCAUGUUGUUUAAUUCGACGCGACGCGAAGAACCUUACCAGGUCUUGACAUCGAUCUAAGGCUGUAGAGAUACAGAGUGCUUUCGGGCGAGAGAAGACAGGUGGUGCAUGGUUGUCGUCAGCUCGUGUCGUGAGAUGUUGGGUUAAGUCCCGCAACGAGCGCAACCCUUAUUGUCAGUUACUAACGAGUGAGGUCGAGGACUCUGACGAGACUGCCGGGGACAACUCGGAGGAAGGUGGGGACGACGUCAAAUCAUCAUGCCCCUUAUGACCUGGGCUACAAACGUGCUACAAUGGUGGUAACAAAGAGGAGCGAGUGCGUGAGUGCGAGCGGAUCUCAAAAAAGCCAUCUCAGUUCGGAUUGUGGGCUGCAACCCGCCCACAUGAAGUUGGAGUUGCUAGUAAUCGCGAAUCAGAAUGUCGCGGUGAAUACGUUCCCGGGCCUUGUACACACCGCCCGU